UCCAAUGGGCGCUCAAAUAUUUUUGUAUUGAAUUUUUUUUAACUCGUUCUUGUACAUUUUAAAUAAUUUUUUGAGUAUGAAAUUGUAACACCCUAUACUUGGCCUAAACAUUGAGUCAGAAUAACAUGACGCUACAUCAAACAUCGAACUAAUAUACAUUCACACAACCUCAAAUACAUGCAACCAUCGUCACUUUCAAUUUUUAGGGGAGUAUUGAGUCUUUAAAACCUUGGCAACAUUUAAAACGACUUAUCAAAUGUUUAUUGACAUUAAUAACAAGUUAAUCAUGCAUGGGACCAUCUAACAAAAAUUACCAAAGAAAUCAUGUAGGUAUUGAUACCUAAGAUUGAGUAUCGAUAUUUAUGAAGAUAGGUAUCAAUACCAUUAGAAAAAUUGUAUUUUUUUUUAGCAUUUUGUUUCUUCACAAAAUAUUGGAA
rnacentral:lncRNA from 1 species